rnacentral:rRNA from 1 species
GAGGAAGUAAAAGUCGUAACAAGGUUUCCGUAGGUGAACCUGCGGAAGGAUCAUUAUUGAAUAAACUUGGUGUGUUGUAGCUGGCUCUUUGGAGCAUGUGCACAUACAUCUUUGUUUCUUUCCACCUGUGCACUCUUUGUAGAUCUGGAUACCUCUCAAGGAAACUUGGUUUGGGAGUUGCUAAUUUCUUUGAACUUGGCUUCUCUUAUAUUUCCGAUCUAUGUUUUUCAUAUACCUCUAGUAUGUCUAGAAUGUUUGUAACAGGCUAUAAUGCCUUUAAAAUGAAUACAACUUUCAACAACGGAUCUCUUGGCUCUCGCAUCGAUGAAGAACGCAGCGAAAUGCGAUAAGUAAUGUGAAUUGCAGAAUUCAGUGAAUCAUCGAAUCUUUGAACGCACCUUGCGCUCCUUGGUAUUCCGAGGAGCAUGCCUGUUUGAGUGUCAUUAAAUUCUCAACCUCUCCAUCUUUUACUAGUUGGUUAGGCUUGGACUGUGGGGGUUGCAGGCUUCUCAAGAAGUCAGCUCUCCUUAAAUGUAUUAGCGGAACUUUUGUGGACCGUCUCUAGUGUGAUAAUUAUCUACGCUAUUGUAUGUGAAACAGCUUGUAAAGUUCAGCUUCUAAUAGUCUAUUAACUUGGACAAUUUAUGACUUUUUGACCUCAAAUCAGGUAGGACUACCCGCUGAACUUAAGCAUAUCA